UACGGAGGAUGCAAGCGUUAUCCGGAAUGAUUGGGCGUAAAGCGUCCGCAGGUGGCUAUGUAAGUCUGCUGUUAAAGAGUCUAGCUCAACUAGAUAAGAGCAGUGGAAACUACAAGGCUAGAGUACGUUCGGGGCAGAGGGAAUUCCUGGUGUAGCGGUGAAAUGCGUAGAGAUCAGGAGGAACACCUGCGGCGAAGGCGGGUUGCUGGGCCGACACUGACGCUGAGGCGCGAAAGCCAGGGGAGCGAACGGG
rnacentral:rRNA from 1 species